UAGAAGCGAGAAGCACAAUUCUCUCUGCCGACUACCCAAAGGAGAAGCACAAGCCGAGCCAUUCGAUAUCCGACAACCGGAAGAAUUUUGGUCUCUGCCGACUACGGAAAGGAGAAGUACAAGCCGAACCAGGUUACUAAAGAAGUGGAACUUGCAUUGACAAAGCUAGCCCUGCCAAAAUUAAUGCAAGGUUUCUAAUGUCAGGAAAAGUUUAAACAUCGUGAAUUCAGCAGCAGAUCAGGCAAACUUUCUUUUUCCCAAACCUUUCUCUACUAGUUUUCUUAUAUGUAAAUUGAAGAUAUAUAUCAUUGCAGAUAUGUGUUUCUUGAUUAUGUUUUCAUCAUAUUA